CCCGAUCGAAACCUAGCGCCCCCCUCGUCUCGUUCGACUCGACCCUUCUCCCUCUCUCUGGUGACGGCGGAGCCAAGGAGCUGCUCUCCGGUUGCCCGGCCCGGUCGCCGGCGGCGGCGGCAGAAGCCACCGUGCCGCGCACGCCUCCGCUCGUUUGCCCCUUCUGUUUCCACUUUCUUCUCUUAACAUCCGAGGCAGAGAGAGGGAGAUGCAGCUCCGUGACGGCGGCCUCUGUCUAGAUCGCCGGACCACCGCGCCGCACGUGGUCGCCGACGACGGCGUCGGACGUGCAUGCCGCGCGAGCCCCUUUCCCCUUUCUUUCUUUCCUCUUUCUCCAACCACCACCAGUCACAUGAGCAGAGACGGCGGCCGGACGGUGGUGCCCCCGUGGCCCCCUUGCCAGUGUGCACGUCCACCCUCGUGUGAGCGCGUCGCCGUCAAGUGGCCCCAGCGGCGGCACCAUUUCCUCCCCGAUGAGAUGUCUCUUUGCCCCAUGAGGGGUUGUUCUUCGUCCCGGCACCUCAGCUUGCCGAUGCGCGUCGGGGUCGAGAGGAACGACGCGGCCAUUGCGGCAGCGCAACUUUUCCGGUGAAGGUUAUGUUCUUUCCCCUGUUCUAGGUUUCCAGGGGAGGGGAAAUUUUCUCUGUCUUUUAUUUCAACCAAAAAAUCCUAGACACAACCUGGGACUGAUACCAUUGAUAGAAUCACGGGAUCAUGCAGGCUAGGAUUCCGGCAACAAUUGUGAUAGGCAUUACCUUUCUUGGCGUGAGGAGCUCCCGCCGUUGGCCAUGAUGGAUGGCUACAGUGGUGAUGACAGAGAGUGGUUGGUGGCGCUGUGGAGCUUCCCAUCGCUCUCCGGCUUUCCACGAUCGGUCUGGUUAUGGAUGUGGGUGGCUGUUCUGUUUUUGGCGUGCGUGCCCUAGUGGCCCCCACCUCUCUCUUAUAGCCGGCGCGACAGGGGCCCACAACCCAGUUGGGUUGGGCUCCCCCGAUCAGGGAGCGAGUCAACGAGGAUGUACCAAACUUGUUGUCUUCGCUGGAGCACCCGGAGCAUCGAGCUUCACCGCUUCGUUCCAUCGCCGUUUGUCGUCACCGACCCUCUUCGAAUUCACCACAGGACGAGCCACUCUCCGCUACAUCCUCCCAACACCUCCGCCGCCGCCCACGAUCGCCGGAGCCGCUGCCGCCACCACGCCCGAGCGCCACCAAUAUUUCCAAUGGAUUCUACCAAGUCAUUAUUCUGAGAGCGUUAUUAUCUUCAUCAAGU